AAUGAACGCUGGCGGCAUGGAUUAGGCAUGCAAGUCGAACGAGAAAUCCACUUCGGUGGACGGAAAGUGGCGCAAGGGUGAGUAACGCGUGAGUAACCUGCCUCGAGGUUGGGGAUAGCCCCGCGAAAGCGGGAUUAAUACCGAAUACGGCGGUUUGACAUCAGUCAAGCUUGCUAAAGGAGCAAUCCGCCAUGAGAUGGGCUCGCGUCCUAUUAGCUUGUUGGUGAGGUAACGGCUCACCAGGGCGAUGACAGGUAGGUGGUCUGAGAGGAUGGUCACCCACACUGGGACUGAGACACUGCCCAG
rnacentral:rRNA from 1 species